CAAAGUCCUUGUUCAUUCUGGCCUCAGUGCCCUUCAGUCACUGGCCUCACUUAUCUCCUCUGUCUCUCACCUUUUAUCUCCUUUAUCUCCAUUCCAGCCAUACUGGCUUCUUUGCUGUCUCUUGAAAACAUCAGGGGCUUUCCUGAUAGCUCAGUUGGUAAAGAAUCUGCCUGCAAUGCCUGAGACCCUGGUUCGAUUCCUGGAUAAGGAAGAUCCCCUGGAGAAGAGAUUGGCUAUCCAUUCCAGUAUUCUUGGGCUUCCCCUGUGGCUCAGCUGACAGGAGUCUGGAAGUAACCAGCUGCUGAUGGUAUUGGGUCAGCAGCUCAACGAUAUCACAUUUGCCAG
ensembl:lncRNA